GAUGAACGCUGGCGGCGUGCCUAAUACAUGCAAGUCGAACGAACAGACGAGGAGCUUGCUCCUCUGACGUUAGCGGCGGACGGGUGAGUAACACGUGGAUAACCUACCUAUAAGACUGGGAUAACUUCGGGAAACCGGAGCUAAUACCGGAUAAUAUAUUGAACCGCAUGGUUCAUUAGUGAAAGACGGUUUUGCUGUCCCUUCUAGAUGGCUCCCCGCCGCAUUAGCUAGUUGGUAAGGUACCGGCUUACCAAGGCAACGAUGCGUAGCCGACCUAAAAGGGUGAUCGGCACCACUGGAACUGAGACACGGUCCAGACUCCUACGGGAGGCAGAAGUAGGGAAUCUUCCGCAAUGGGCGAAAGCCUGACGGAGCAACGCCGCGUGAGUGAUGAAGGUCUUCGGAUCGUAAAACUCUGUUAUUAGGGAAGAACAAAUGUGUAAGUAACUAUGCACGUCGUGACGGUACCUAAUCAGAAAGCCACGGCUAACUACGUG
rnacentral:rRNA from 1 species